AAUGAACGCUGGCGGCGCGCCUAAUACAUGCAAGUCGAGCGAGAAGACGUAGCAAUACGUUUGUAAAGCGGCGAACGGGUGAGGAAUACAUGGGUAACCUACCCUCGAGUGGGGAAUAACUAGCCGAAGGUUAGCUAAUACCGCGUACGCUUCUUGGACUUCGGUUCAGUGAGGAAAGCGAUGCCGAGGGUAUCGCGCUCUUGGAUGGGCUCAUGUCCUAUCAGCUGUUGGUGAGGUAACGGCUCACCAAGGCUUCGACGGGUAGCUGGUCUGAGAGGACGAUCAGCCACACUGGCACUGCGACACGGGCCAGACUCCUACGGGAGGCAGCAGUAAGGAAUAUUGCGCAAUGGGCGAAAGCCUGACGCAGCGACGCCGCGGUGGGGGA
rnacentral:rRNA from 1 species